AGAGUUUGAUCCUGGCUCAGGACGAACGCUGGCGGCGUGGAUUAGGCAUGCAAGUCGAACGCGAACGAAAACCUUCGGGUUUUUUAUUAGAGUGGCGAACGGGUGAGUAACGCGUAGGUGAUCUACCUUUAAGUGGGGGAUAGCCCCGGGAAACCGGGAUUAAUACCGCAUGUGACCGGCAUUGUCGGUUAAAGGAGGCCUCUGUUUUAAGCUUUUGCUUAAAGAUGAGCCUGCGUUCUAUUAGCUAGUUGGUGGGGUAAAGGCCUACCAAGGCGAUGAUAGAUAGGCGGCCUUAACGGGUGGUCGCCCACACUGGGAUUGAGAUACGGCCCAGACUCCUACGGGAGGCAGCAGUCGAGAAUAGUCUACAAUGGGGGAAACCCUGAUAGUGCGACGCCGCGUGGAUGAAGAAGCAUUUCGGUGUGUAAAAUCCUUUUCUGUAUGAGCAAGUCCCAUUAGGAGAAUAUCUUAUUGGGUUAGAUAUUAGUACAGGAAUAAGCCACGGCUAGCUCCGUGCCAGCAGCCGCGGUAAUACGGAGGUGGCGAGCGUUGUCCGGAAUUACUAGGCGUAAAGGGUAAGUAGGCGGAUUUAUAAGUCAGAUGUUAAAGGCAUGGGCUCAACCGAUGUAUUGCAUUUGAUACUGUAAAUCUAGAGUAAGGGAGAGGAAGGCAGAAUUCCUGGUGUAGCGGUGGAAUGCGCAGAUAUCAGGAAGAAUACCGAUGGCGCAGGCAGCCUUCUAGACCAUUACUGACGCUCAAUUACGAAGGUGUGGGUAUCGAACAGGAUUAGAUACCCUGGUAGUCCACACAGUAAACGAUAUGCACUAGGUGUUGGGGGAGAGAAUCUUUCAGUGCCGUAGUUAACGCGUUAAGUGCAUCGCCUGGGGAGUACGAUCGCAAGGUUUAAACUCAAAGGAAUUGACGGGGGCCCGCACAAGCGGUGGAGCAUGUGGUUUAAUUCGAUGCAACGCGAAGAACCUUACCUGGACUUGACAUCCCAAGGAUCAUUCAGAGAUGAAUGAGUGCCUUUCGGGGAACUUGGAGACAGGUGCUGCAUGGCUGUCGUCAGCUCGUGUCGUGAGAUGUUGGGUUAAGUCCCGCAACGAGCGCAACCCCUAUCUUUAGUUACCAUCAUUAAGUUGGGGACUCUAGAGAGACUGCCAGUGUAAUAAACUGGAGGAAGGUGGGGACGACGUCAAGUCAUCAUGGUCCUUA
rnacentral:rRNA from 1 species